UGGAAUGUGGGCCGAGCCGCCGGGAUCCCAAGGUGCAGUCACGUGACAACCAAACAACGCCGCAGACGCCGUUCGCCGGAAGUCGCUCAACGAGCCGCCGUUGGGAUCUUCGCACGAGUCCGAUCCAGUCGGGCGGAAGUGAGUCCCGUCUGCUUCCAGCUUCCGGUCGCUUCUCCCGGGGAAGCUCGUUUCGGGUGUGCGGGAGGAUGACAAGCUGGUCGUCCGGCGGCAACUGUUGCUUCGCGUGUGCGCUGUGCGAUCGCGACCACCGCGCGCGCCGAUGGAGGACUCGCACGGCGGGAGGAGGCGGAGGCCCGCAGAGGGGACCGGCGCACCGGGGAGUCACUUCCAGAGGAGCGUGGCAGCGGUCAGCUCUCCUGCGCUGUCCGUCGCGCGGCUCACUUUACCCGGGAUCAUGGACGCCGAAGGGAGGGUCGACGAGUCCAGGCUGAGGAUGCAUAUUUUCAAAAACGGUGGCGUCUGUCCCUCCGAGCGUGGUCUGGUGUGGAGUUUUUUAUUUGGGAUGUAUCCUUGCAGCUCGACCGCUUUGCAGCGCUCUCUGCUGCAGGAGCAGAUGACGGAACGUUACCGGGUCAUGAAGAGAAAGUGGCAGCAGUUCCUCCCUUUGGCCGUGCGGAUGCACCUCAACGGAACGGACGCGGAGUUGGUGGCUGCAGUCAGUUACUUUGACCAGAGGGAGGCACUUGCCCAACAACAAACCCACGAGCAGUCUGAGGAGGUCAGGGAACGACUGGCUUUCUUGGAGCUUCAGGCACAGAUAUUGUUUGAGCGAGUCACGUUUGACGAAGAGGAGCUACGGGAAGCCACAAGGAUCAUCGACAAGGAUGUGGCGAGAACUAACAGAGACCUGAGCUAUUAUCAGGGAGAAGGUUCAGCCAACCUGUUGGUUUUGAGGGACAUCCUCAUCACUUAUGCUGCUUUUCACCCAGAGGUCAGUUAUGCCCAAGGAAUGAAUGACCUGUGCAGCCGGUUCUUGGAGGUUCUUAACUCUGAGGUUGAUGCUUAUUGGAGUUUCUGCUGCUACAUGGAGAAGUUUUCCAAGGACUUCAGGGCUGAUGGUCUGCACAGGAAAAUAGAGUUGGAGGCAGCCCUGUUGAAGGAACUGGACCCUCAGCUGUACACUCAUUUGGUCACAAACUCCAUGGAUAGCUUUACCUUCUGCCACAGGUGGCUGCUGCUUGGGUUCCAGAGGGAAUUUGAACACAGUGAUGCAUUACGUUUGUUCGAGAUCCUGAGUUGUGACCACCUGGAGCUCAUCUCCCAGCAAGUGGACCAGGCACGUUAUAAGGAAAGACUUGCACAAAAAUGCAGGACAGCGAUGUGUCCCUGCAGAGGACAAUUCAGAGUCCCAGCUGCAGGCCAUCAACACUGACUUCACCUUCGAGCUCUUCAUCUGUGCAGCCAUCCUGUUGGAGAACAGAGAGUUUCUCCUGCGUUGCCGUGACGAAGUACAACUUAUCCAGUUUACAAGCAGCCUUCAGGGGAACUCUGGGAACUGCACAGCACGCUAAAGAAAGCAGAGCACCAUUUGUACAACUACUGCAAGAGCUGUGCUUGGGACUACAUGAACGGGUGCUGUAAAACGGACAAGAGCCAAGAAGAGGACUUUCUGUAUCAACUCCGCAGUUUAUUUGUUUUAAGGUGAAAGCUACUGUUUAGAUAUUUGAUAUUAAACUCAUGUAACUGUUAAUUUGUAACCAGGGACAUGUAAUCACUAUUUAGAGGUUUGACAUUUGUUAUUUUUAUUCACUGAUUGCUGCUGACCUUUCCUUGGAUCCGUUACCGCUGUUUAUUAUAAAUGUACAGUAUUUAUUGUGUGAAAGCCGACCCGCAACAACCGUUUUAUUUCUGUGGCCCAUAACUGCAGUGAAAAUAAAAGGCCCAAUAUUUUAGGAGGACAUAGAAAACACACUUUAGAGGAUGUUUUUCCCGGGUUGUGCAAUAUUCAACUGCAAGUAGAAAACUACCACUCAACGGGCGUGUGUGAAAACUAAGAUCUGGCGUGACGCAACAGAUGGUGUCUAACAAACCGCAGUUAUAUUUAAUGCCAGAUGGUCUCUGAGCCAGAGAGGCCCAUGUAACAAGAGUAGAAAUCUAGUUUUUGAGCUCUGUAAAAGGGUACGAAGAGAGUAUAUGACUGCACUUCUGUCUUUUUAAACUGAGAACGAAACAUAUAUACUCCAUAAAAUGUAUACUUUAAUAAAACGAUUGUUUACUAAAUUGCAA